UACGAAGGGGGCUAGCGUUGUUCGGAAUUACUGGGCGUAAAGCGCACGUAGGCGGACAUUUAAGUCAGGGGUGAAAUCCCAGAGCUCAACUCUGGAACUGCCUUUGAUACUGGGUGUCUUGAGUAUGGAAGAGGUUAGUGGAAUUCCGAGUGUAGAGGUGAAAUUCGUAGAUAUUCGGAGGAACACCAGUGGCGAAGGCGGCUCACUGGUCCAUUACUGACGCUGAGGUGCGAAAGCGUGGGGAGCAAACAGG
rnacentral:rRNA from 1 species